rnacentral:rRNA from 1 species
UACAGAGGGGGCAAGCGUUGUUCGGAAUUACUGGGCGUAAAGGGCGCGUAGGCGGCCUGCUAAGUCGAACGUGAAAUCCCCGGGCUCAACCCGGGAACUGCGUCCGAUACUGGCAGGCUUGAAUCCGGGAGAGGGAUGUGGAAUUCCAGGUGUAGCGGUGAAAUGCGUAGAUAUCUGGAGGAACACCGGUGGCGAAGGCGGCAUCCUGGACCGGUAUUGACGCUGAGGCGCGAAAGCGUGGGGAGCGAACGGG